rfam:Hordeum vulgare subsp. vulgare, WGS project CAJW01000000 data, contig: morex_contig_435571
AGUAUACUACCUCCGUCCACAAAUACUUGUCCUAGAGAUGAAUGAAACUAGACUUAUUUUAAUUGUAGAUACAUUCAUUAUAUGCAUUUUUAGGACAAGUAUUUCCGGACGAAGGAAGUAUGAU